rnacentral:rRNA from 1 species
GUAAGGAAUAUUGGACAAUGGACGCAAGUCUGAUCCAGCCAUGCCGCGUGAAGGAUUAAGGUCCUCUGGAUUGUAAACUUCUUUUAUAAGGGACGAAAAAAGGCUUUUCUAAGUCGUCUGACGGUACCUUAUGAAUAAGCACCGGCUAACUCCGUGCCAGCAGCCGCGGUAAUACGGAGGGUGCAAGCGUUAUCCGGAUUCACUGGGUUUAAAGGGGGCGUAGGCGGGCAGGUAAGUCAGUGGUGAAAUCCUAGAGCUUAACUCUAGAACUGCCAUUGAUACUAUCUGUCUUGAAUAUUGUGGAGGUAAGCGGAAUAUGUCAUGUAGCGGUGAAAUGCUUAGAUAUGACAUAGAACACCUAUUGCGAAGGCAGCUUACUACGCAUAUAUUGACGCUGAGGCACGAAAGCGUGGGGAUCAAACAGGAUUAGAAACCCGUGUAGUCC